UGAUCACUUACUCAAAACGUCUUCCAAAUUGUUCAAGGGAUUUAGUGCCUGAGAUAAGAUUCUGUUCAUCACCUUGAAAGCUCAGAGCAAAAACAGUAAGAAUGGUAUUGCAGUGUUUCAUUCUUCUGGUUUUCUUCCUCAGUAGUAGCCAUGGACAUAUUGAAUUUAUUUACACAACAAAGAAUGAAGUAAAAUUGUUCUGCAACACCA